rnacentral:rRNA from 1 species
AGUUUGAUCCUGGCUCAGGAUGAACGCUAGCGGCAGGCUUAACACAUGCAAGUCGAGGGGCAGCGUGGAGUAGCAAUACUCUGACGGCGACGGCGAAAGGGUGAGUAACGCGUGAGCAACAUGCCCGGUAGUGGAGGAUAGUCAUUGGAAACGAUGCGUAAUACUCCGUAACAACAGGGACCGCAUGAUCCUUGUUUAAUAGAUUUAUUGCUAUCGGAUUGGCUCGCGUACCAUUAGCUAGUUGGCGGGGUAACGGCCCACCAAGGCGACGAUGGUUAGGGGUUCUGAGAGGAAGGUCCCCCACACUGGUACUGAGACACGGACCAGACUCCUGCGGGAGGCAGCAGUAAGGGAUAUUGGGCAAUGGGGGCAACUCUGACCCAGCCAUGCCGCGUGAGGGAAUGAGGCCCUACGGGUCGUGAACCUCUUUUAUUCGGGGACAAGGACGCGCACGAGAUGCGCGUUUGAGGGUACCGAAGGAAUAAGCCACGGCUAACUACGUGCC